CAGCAGCCGCGGUAAUACGAAGGGUGCAAGCGUUAAUCGGAAUUACUGGGCGUAAAGCGUGCGUAGGCGGUGAGUUAAGUCUGCUGUGAAAUCCCCGGGCUCAACCUGGGAAUGGCAGUGGAUACUGGCUCGCUAGAGUGUGGUAGAGGAUAGUGGAAUUUCCGGUGUAGCAGUGAAAUGCGUAGAGAUCGGAAGGAACAUCUGUGGCGAAGGCGACUAUCUGGGCCAACACUGACACUGAGGCACGAAAGCGUGGGGAGCAAACAGGAUUAGAUACCCGGGUAGUCCCUGUCUCUUAUAC
rnacentral:rRNA from 1 species